CCGAGUGUAGCUCAGUUGGUAGAGCGAUUGACUGUAGUGUGUCUAUACUGUGUUUCGGUAUACUCGGAAAUCAAUUGGUCACCGGUUCGAUUCCGGUCACUCGGA
rnacentral:tRNA from 1 species